GAAGCGGUGACCAUAACCACGUGCUCAACCUUCCACCGACCGCCCCUCCCAUAACCGCCUCCGUCCAGCGAUGGUUUCAUCUCGCUCACCCGCUCGCCCCUCCCCCUCGUCGCCUCCGAUCCCUCUUGAAAUCUUCCAACAACAGGUCCUUUCACGGCCACAAUCCCCGAUCGCCCAACCUGCCUCGCUGACCAACUGGAGUCCCUCGCCGCCGCAGUUUCGAGUAUCUAAAAUUACCCUCGAUCAUGUCUUGCCCCUCCCCUUCCGUGGCCUCCGAUCCUUCUUAAGAUCUUCCAACAACAGGUCCAUUCACAGCCGCAGUCCCCAAUCGCGCACCGUGCCCCUCCUAUCAAGUGGAGUCCCUCGCCGCCGCAGGCAAAGGAGCACUCUGUAGGCAGGCCCUGUGGGAACCUCUUGAGGUCGCUGCAGUAGUUGUAGAUCAUGUAGUUCUUCUGCACCCAAUUCAUCUUCUCUUGGCCUGUGGUGUCCAGCUCUUGGCUCCACCACCCGCUGCUGCUGGGGACAGUGUCGGCCCUGAAGCUUCUAUAUGAGGCCGUGAACGGUGCCUGCGACCAGUCGGUCUUGACCAGGCCGCCUCUGGUAGCCCAGUCAUCCGCGUUCCAGAGGCUGGAGUAGAUCCUCAUGGGCUGGUUCUUGGGGAACGCGACGCCCCUCGAUUCCAGGUUCUUGAAGUCUCUGAUCGGGAUGCGGUCAACCAUGAAGCUGCAGAGGAGGCGACAGAGUGUGAGAUCGACAUCGACGGCGUACCGGAACGAAGCUGGGCAAAGCAUGGACCGGCGGGGUACUCACAUGAUAUGGCUAGGGUUCCAGAGGAUGGUGUAGGUGUGGAAGUCCGCGGUGGGAUCAAACCAGAGCUUGAACUGCAUCUCCCUGUUCCCCUUCCCUUGGGCGAACACGUUGGUGUGGAGGGUGUAGGGAUCUCCGCUGACAUUUCCGAGGAACUCGAAGUCGAUCUCGUCAUGCGUCGGCCCUUGCGAGGACAACUGCAGGCAUCAAGCGACACGGCGUCGAACACUUAGUUGCAGAAGAUUCAGAACGAAGGAAGAAGAGAAUGUACGAUGAGAAGGGCAAGGAGGGGCAUACAUAGUAGGCAGUGACGGUGCCGGCGGAGUUCCCCGGAACGAGCUUGAUCUGCAUGUCGAUCUUGCCGAAGAGGUACUCCUUCUUCGACUGGAAUCCCGAGCCCGAGGCCUUGUCGAGGGUGAGGGUGAGGAGCUGGCCGCUCUCGAGGACCUUGGCGCGGCCGUCGCCCCAGAUGAUGUCGAACUCCUGGUCGAAGUUGCCGGCGGCGGCGAUGGCCAGCAAAGAGGAAGCUAUCAGCAGAAACCGCAUCGCCAUUGUGAGCAACACAAGUAGCAGCAGUAGUAGCUGUAAGCAAGAGAAGUGGAGAGUGGGUGAUGGGAUGAGUGAGGUUUGGAGCUGUUUAUAAAGGGGGAAGAGAAGAGGAAAGAGAAAGCCAUGGUAUAGGUUGGGAAUGGACUGGAGAGUGCCUGUGGAAAGAAGGUGGUGAGGGGUUUCGCAUGGCCAGCUUGCAAUUGCACGUCCAAUGGGGAUCUGCUGCUUAAAGUUGGUGCAGUGCCAGCGAGUAACGCAGCUUAAUUAGUAUGCUCCAUGCAGUUCUUUAUUGGACGCGCUUGAGACAGAGGUGUUCUCCAGCUGUUGGUUGAGUGGACGCGUUGACUGUCUUCUUUGAUCAUUUGGUGGGCAGGAUUGGAAUCCGGAGGGGAAGAGACUGUGAAGGGGAGGUGCAUAAUAAUAAUGAUGAUGAUAAUUAUUAUUAUUAUCAUUAUGAUGAUGAUGAUAGCGAAUUUUUAAAAAAUAUAUUUAAUUUUGAGAAA